rnacentral:rRNA from 1 species
AAAUUGAAGAGUUUGAUCAUGGCUCAGAUUGAACGCUGGCGGCAGGCCUAACACAUGCAAGUCGAACGGUAACAGGAAGAAGCUUGCUUCUUUGCUGACGAGUGGCGGACGGGUGAGUAAUGUCUGGGAAACUGCCUGAUGGAGGGGGAUAACUACUGGAAACGGUAGCUAAUACCGCAUAACGUCGCAAGACCAAAGAGGGGGACCUUCGGGCCUCUUGCCAUCGGAUGUGCCCAGAUGGGAUUAGCUAGUAGGUGGGGUAACGGCUCACCUAGGCGACGAUCCCUAGCUGGUCUGAGAGGAUGACCAGCCACACUGGAACUGAGACACGGUCCAGACUCCUACGGGAGGCAGCAGUGGGGAAUAUUGCACAAUGGGCGCAAGCCUGAUGCAGCCAUGCCGCGUGUAUGAAGAAGGCCUUCGGGUUGUAAAAGUACUUUCAGCGGGGAGGAAGGGAGUAAAGUUAAUACCUUUGCUCAUUGACGUUACCCGCAGAAGAAGCACCGGCUAACUCCGUGCCAGCAGCCGCGGUAAUACGGAGGGUGCAAGCGUUAAUCGGAAUUACUGGGCGUAAAAGCGCACGCAGGCGGUUUGUUAAGUCAGAUGUGAAAUCCCCGGGCUCAACCUGGGAACUGCAUCUGAUACUGGCAAGCUUUGAGUCUCGUAGAGGGGUAGAAUUCCGGUGUAGCGGUGAAAUGCGUAGAGAUCUGGAGGAAUACCGGUGGCGAAGGCGGCCCCCGGACGAAGACUGACGCUCAGGUGCGAAAGCGUGGGGAGCAAACAGGAUUAGAUACCCGGUAGUCCACGCCGUAAACGAUGUCGACUUGGAGGUUGUGCCCUUGAGGCGUGGCUUCCGGAGCUAACGCGUUAAGUCGACCGCCUGGGGAGUACGGCCGCAAGGUUAAAACUCAAAUGAAUUGACGGGGGCCCGCACAAGCGGUGGAGCAUGUGGUUUAAUUCGAUGCAACGCGAAGAACCUUACCUGGUCUUGACAUCCACGGAAGUUUUCAGAGAUGAGAAUGUGCCUUCGGGAACCGUGAGACAGGUGCUGCAUGGCUGUCGUCAGCUCGUGUUGUGAAAUGUUGGGUUAAGUCCCGCAACGAGCGCAACCCUUAUCCUUUGUUGCCAGCGGUCCGGCCGGGAACUCAAAGGAGACUGCCAGUGAUAAACUGGAGGAAGGUGGGGAUGACGUCAAGUCAUCAUGGCCCUUACGACCAGGGCUACACACGUGCUACAAUGGCGCAUACAAAGAGAAGCGACCUCGCGAGAGCAAGCGGACCUCAUAAAGUGCGUCGUAGUCCGGAUUGAGUCUGCAACUCGACUCCAUGAAGUCGGAAUCGCUAGUAAUCGUGGAUCAGAAUGCCACGGUGAAUACGUUCCCGGGCCUUGUACACACCGCCCGUCACACCAUGGGAGUGGGUUGCAAAAGAAGUAGGUAGCUUAACCUUCGGGAGGGCGCUUACCACUUUGUGAUUCAUGACUGGGGUGAAGUCGUAACAAGGUAACCGUAGGGGAACCUGCGGUUGGAUCACCUCCUUACCUUAAAGAAGC